GUUCCCGUACGAUCACCAAAGUUAAGCAACGUCGAACCUAGUUAUUACCUAGUUGGGCAACCGCUUGGGAAUACCACGUGCUGUAAG